AAUAGGAGAAUGACAAAUUACAUUUUUCUUCUUGAUUUUUAGCUUUUUUUCUCCUAAAAAACAUUCAAAUCCAAUUGAAAAUGCUAAAAAUUAGAAGGAAAAAUAUGAUUUGUCAUUCUUUUAUU
rnacentral:pre_miRNA from 1 species